UACCUGGUUGAUCCUGCCAGUAGGGCAAGCUAUUCUCGAAGAUUAAGCCAUGUAUGUGCCAAGUUCAUACGUUAAACGUGAGACUGCGGACGGCUCAGUAUAUCAGUGAUUAUCUGUUUGAUUGUAUCUCCCAUUGGAUAACCGUGGGAAAUCUAGAGCUAAUACAUGUACUUUUUUGGUUAUCAUUCGUGGUAAUCAAAGCAUUUAUUAGAUUAAACCAUCUACUACUCUGUAGUAAGCUGAAUCUAGAUAACUUUGCUGAUCGUAUGGCCUAGUGCCGGCGACGUUUCAAUUGAGUUUCUGCCCUAUUAACUUGUUGGUAAGGUAUUGGCUUACCAAGGUUGCAAUGGGUAACGGGGAAUCAGGGUUCGAUUCCGGAGAAGGAGCCUGAGAAACGGCUACUACAUCCAAGGAAGGCAACAGGCGCGCAAAUUACCCAAUCUAGACAGUAGGAGGUGGUGAAGAGAAUUACUAAGUGGUGGUUCAAUGAACUACCAACUUGGAAUGGACGUAACUUAAGCAAUUCGUUGAGAAACAACUGGAGGGCAAGUCCUGGUGCCAGCAGCCGCGGUAAUUCCAGCUCCAGUAGUUUGCUUUAAAGUUGUUGCGUUUAAAACGCUCGUAGUUGGAUCACGCAACAGUGUACGGUAAUCUAUUCAUUCGGCUGGAAUUUUUCGAGUGUUCAUCGAAAGAUGACGCUCAAAGUCUAGACUGUGAUAGAUAUAAAAGCCGGCCACUGUUAACUGCACGUGAGAUGGAUUGUUGACCUUUAGUGAGUCGGUAAUCCUGUCUUGCGGAGUGUGCCUUGAAUAAAACAGAGUGCUUAAAGCAGGUUUACGCCUGAAUGUUAUAGCAUGGAACGAACAAUAGUGUAUUAGUACAUGGUUUUCGGCAGCGAUAGAUCUAUGGUUUGUCGUUGUUGGGAACGUGUACAUCACCCACCAAAAUAUGGCUGUUGGUUCCAUAUACGGUGAUGAUUAAAAGGAGCGGUUGGGGGCAUCGGUAUUUGGCCGCGAGAGGUGAAAUUCUUGGACCGGCCAAGGACUAACAAAUGCAAAGGCACUUGUCUAGACCGUUUCCAUUAAUCAAGAACGAAAGUGGGAGGUUCGAAGACGAUCAGAUACCGUCCUAGUUCCCACUGUAAACUAUGCCGACCUGGGAUCAGUUUAGAGAUGCUACAAGCUCUAAAUUGGUCCCCCUGGGAAACCUCAAGUUUUUCGGUUACGGGGAGAGUACGGUCGCAAGGCUGAAACUUAAAGGAAUUGACGGAAGGGCACCACCAGGGGUGGAGCCUGCGGCUUAAUUUGACUCAACACGGGGAAACUUACCUGGUCCGGACAUCGAUAGGAUACACAGACUGAUAGAUCUUUGUUGAUGCGAUGAGAGGUGGUGCAUGGCCGUUCUUAGUUCGUGGAGUGAUCUGUCAGCUUAAUUGCGGUAACGAACGAGACCACAGUCUCCAUUUAAGAAACAGAAAAAGAUGAUUUACUGCCGGACUUGUCUGACAGUUAAAUUGUUGUUGGUCAAGAGUGCGAUUGCAUGAUGACGUUGCGGAGGAGCAAUCUGAAGUGGCGAAGUUGUGCGGUUGAGCUUUUGCCUUUCUGUCGAGCAGUAGCUGGUAUCUACUAGUUGCUGCCUUCUGGAGAGACAACGAGGUAUAAACAAGCUCGAGGAAGAGUGGCUAUAACAGGUCAGUGAUGCCCUUCGAUGUUCAGGGCUGCACGCGCGCUACAAUGAUAACGACAACGAGUAUCCGCGUCGAAAGACGUAGGUAAUCUUUAAUCGUUAUCGUGAUGGGGAUUGACCGUUGUAAUUAUCGGUCAUGAAAGAGGAAUCCCUAGUAUGCGUAUUUUAUUAGAAUGUGCAGAUUGAGUCCCUGCCCUUUGUACACACCGCCCGUCGCUACUACCGAGUGAAUGGUGUCAUGAUGCCCUGGGACUGGACGUCUGGCGGGAUUAACCUCUUGCAAGAUGCUAGAAUCAGUGUAAAAUGGCGCAAUUUCGAGGAAGUAAAAGUCGUAACAAGGUUUCCGUAGGUGAACCUGCGGAGGA
rnacentral:rRNA from 1 species